AACGAACGCUGGCGGCAUGCUAACACAUGCAAGUCGAACGAGACCUUCGGGUCUAGUGGCGCACGGGUGCGUAACGCGUGGGAACCUGCCCUUAGGUUCGGAAUAACUCCCCGAAAGGGGUGCUAAUACCGGAUAAUGUCUUCGGACCAAAGAUUUAUCGCCUUUGGAUGGGCCCGCGUUGGAUUAGCUAGUUGGUAGGGUAAAAGCCUACCAAGGCGACGAUCCAUAGCUGGUCUGAGAGGAUGAUCAGCCACACUGGGACUGAGACACGGCCCAGACUCCUACGGGAGGCAGCAGUGGGGAAUAUUGGACAAUGGGCGAAAGCCUGAUCCAGCAAUGCCGCGUGAGUGAUGAAGGCCUUAGGGUUGUAAAGCUCUUUUACCCGGGAUGAUAAUGACAGUACCGGGAGAAUAAGCUCCGGCUAACUCCGUG
rnacentral:rRNA from 1 species